rnacentral:rRNA from 1 species
CGCAAGGGGAGUGGCAGACGGGUGAGUAACACGUGGGAACCUUCCCUAUAGUACGGAAUAGCCCAGGGAAACUUGGAGUAAUACCGUAUACGCCCGAAAGGGGAAAGAAUUUCGCUAUAGGAUGGGCCCGCGUAGGAUUAGCUAGUUGGUGAGGUAAUGGCUCACCAAGGCGACGAUCCUUAGCUGGUUUGAGAGAACGACCAGCCACACUGGGACUGAGACACGGCCCAGACUCCUACGGGAGGCAGCAGUGGGGAAUAUUGGACAAUGGGCGCAAGCCUGAUCCAGCCAUGCCGCGUGAGUGAUGAAGGCCUUAGGG